ACUAUUGGGUGCUCCAGUUGCUCGAGCCUGAUGGAGCACUUCGAGGACACCAGGGAGAAGAAUGAGGCCUUGCUGGGGGAGCUCUUCUCUAGCCCCCACCUGCAGAUGCUCCUGAAUCCAGAGUGCGACCCGUGGCCCCUGGACAUGCAGCCCCUCCUCAACAAGCAGAGUGAUGACUGGCAGUGGGCCAGUGCCUCUGCCAAGUCCGAGGAGGAGGAGAAGCUGGCGGAGCUUGCCAGGCAGCUGCAGGAGAGUGCUGCCAAGUUGCAUGCGCUUAGAACGGAGUACUUUGCACAGCAUGAGCAAGGGGCCGCUGCGGGCGCAGCCGACAUCAGCACCCUAGACCAGAAGCUGCGUCUGGUCACUUCCGACUUCCACCAGCUAAUCUUGGCUUUUCUCCAAGUCUACGACGACGAGCUGGGCGAGUGCUGCCAGCGCCCAGGCCCUGACCUCCACCCGUGCGGCCCCAUCAUCCAGGCCACGCACCAGAAUCUGACUUCCUACAGCCAAAUCCCCAGAGGCCAACCUAAAAAGCCGGCUUUAGUUACGAUGACUACAGUUCCCAUAUGCGCAACUCUGCCCUUGGCUCAAGGAUUCCGUGAUGUUUAUUUUGGUUUUCUAAGCGAGAGGCUCCGAGCCUUCCAACCUCUGACUGGCUGGUCCUGUGAGACCCCUCGAUCAGGGAUGCUGCUGCAAGUGGUCGUGGCAGUUGCUGACACCUCUGCGAAAGCCGUGGAGACCGUGAAGAAGCAGCAAGGCGAGCAGAUCUGCUGGGGUGGCAGCAGCUCCGUCAUGAGUCUAGCUACCAAGAUGAAUGAACUAAUGGAGAAACAGAAAGUCUUCAGUGAUGG
rnacentral:sRNA from 1 species